rnacentral:rRNA from 1 species
UACGGAGGGUGCGAGCGUUGUCCGGAAUCACUGGGCGUAAAGGGCGCGUAGGCGGCGCGGGUAGUCGUCGGUGAAAGCUCAGGGCUCAACCCUGAGUCGGCCGGUGAUACUCCCGUGCUCGAGCACUGUAGAGGCAGGUGGAAUUCCGGGUGUAGCGGUGGAAUGCGUAGAGAUCCGGAAGAACACCGGUGGCGAAGGCGGCCUGCUGGGCAGUAACUGACGCUGAUGCGCGACAGCGUGGGGAGCAAACAGG